UUUACCCUCUGUCCAUGAUAAAUGCUCGCAUCUGAGAAGAUUUCCUAAAACCGAGUUGAUUGAAGGUUGUAAACUUCAUAUCUAGGGUUUACCCUCUUUCCAAAUCAGACGAUCAACUCCGAGAUUUGAAUCUGCAAAAUCGAAGCUUGAUUUAAGCAACAAUCUCGAAGACAUGCAAUUGGGUUUAACAAGUUCAUCACCAUCAAGCCUUGGAUUUCCUCAAAUUAAGUGCACCAUUUUUGUUCUAACUGAGGUCUGAGAGUAACUGCACCAAAGCCCGGGUGCCUUAAGUUUCACAUUUGUUCCUUCACAUACCAGGUGGGGAAAAAAAUCUCAGACCUUAUUCGAGAUUCAGGCAACCAGACGUCUGGUUCAGAGCAGGGCAGGUGGCAAACAGAACUUACCUAAGUAGCAAUAGAGUUGAUUGAGAUGACAUCGAAUAUGUCCGCUUGUGCUAUUGCAAAGUGUGAUUACUGUGGGAAAGGUUGCUCUGUUUUCACUUCUAAGUCAG